rnacentral:misc_RNA from 1 species
AAAAAAAAUAAAAUAAAAUAAAAGCAAGUGUGCGUCAAGGCGGAGGAUUGUUUGUGUUUCUGUGAUCCCAUUGAUAUAUAGUUUGGAUAGGUUUUCCCAAUUUUAAGUCUCUCAGGUUUCUUUCUUUUUGCUUCUUCUGUGUGUGGUCCUCUUCUUUUCUCUAGAGGAUGGAACUUGCUUUAAGUCUAGGUGAUACAUCCAAGCCCUUCAAGUUUCUUGGCCAGACUACUAAGAUAUCAACUAAAGAUCUAGGGUUUUGCAUGGGGUUAGGAACUGGAUUUACUGCAACUCCAAGAUCCCAAGAUAAAGUUGUUGAUGCUACCCUUCAAGGUGAAGCUGCUCCUGCUGCUGCUGGCUCAAGAAUCUCAUCAGAUCCUCCUGUUCAGCUUGAUCUUUUACCUUUCUCUCCCGUUCCCCGUAGACAAACCCCUUCUCAGAUUCCCUUUCCAUGGCUCUCGGAUAACUUGGUGUCUGAACCGGGUUCCACAGAUGGAUCAGGCAGGGGUUUUGAUGUGAACCGACUAUCAGCGGAGGAGGCAGAAGAAGGGGCGGCGCUGUCGUCGCCUAACAGUGCUAUCUCGUCGUUUCAGAUGGAUUUUGGGAUUAGG